rnacentral:lncRNA from 1 species
UUCCACCUUUCAUUCAAGAACAAGUUCAAGCUGCCCAAGGUUACUCUAAACCUGUCAAUGAUCCAUUCUCUAACACAUAUAAUUCAGGCUGGAGGAACCAUCCAAAUUUUUCUUGGAGACCCUAACAGACCUAGGCUCAGACCCAAAUUCUUCCUUCGCAAAACUUUCAGAGUAGACCUCCAUACCAGAAUUAUGCCUACAAUAUAGGUCAGCCCAGUCAAUCUAUCCAGCCACC